rnacentral:lncRNA from 1 species
CUAAACAACUUUGACUUGACCAAACUUAAUGAAAAUCACUAAAGAUGCAAUGCACAUGUGAAAGAAACAAAAACUAAGACUCAAGAGUCAAGAAAAACAAUUAAGAAUCCAAAAUACCCAAUUCAGCUAAUUUUUUAAAAUUUUGAUAUUACAACAGAAUUAAAUCAAUCAAGAAUGAUGAAAGACCAUAGGAAAACAAUAGAAAACACUACAAAAUAGAAUUAGAAGAAAAAAAUUGAAAGAAAACCUCCAAGAAAGCAAGAUUGCAAUUCGAGUUCUUAUAUUCUUUCUCUAACCAAACAGCAACCAAAACCUAAUUUUAAGCUUCAAGAUUAAUAUAAAACCUUCAAGACUGUUGUUUAAUUAAUACAGGAUUAGAUUAAAAAGUGAAUAACCCUUGCACACUAAUUUUCUCAAUUUUGCCCAAAUGCUCAAGAAUAAGUAAAAAGAAGAAGAGAAUGAGAAAAUUCGUGGAAUCAGCAAGCAAUUAGGAUAUGAGAUUGUAUUUUUUAGAGUUCAAUCUCUUCUCAAGUUAGUUUGUUGUUAAUAUAAUCAGAUCUACCGCCCAAAUCCUCUUAUCUCUCUAAACUGAAUGGAUUAGUUGCUUUGUAGCUACACCUCUUCGUAGAAUAUAUAAAACUUGUGUUUGCCUAGAUUAGGACUAUUUUUUAACCCUAAGUACUAAGAAAAAAUGUGAUUAACAAGAUCAGCCCCUACAUACACUCAAAAAUAAAUCAAAAAUUAAGAUUAACAAGAUCAGCCCCUACAUACACUCAAAAAUAAAUCAAAAAUUAAGAUUUUCAAGAAAACACAUAAGAUAGUUCAAGAAAAUCAAGAUAUUCAAGGAAGCCUUCAAGAUUCAAUUUUCUUUUAAUACCUUUCUUCUUUCUUUUUUUGAUACUUUUUUUUCUUUUUCUUAUCAGAUCCGAAUAUGAAAUUACACAAAAUAAGAAUAAUAAUGUAAAUCAAGAACACAACCAUACCUCCAUUCCUAGAUCUCCAAGAAGCCAAAAUACCUUCACAAAAACUUAAAGAAACAAUUAAUACCUUAAACAAACUAGCAUACGCAAUCUGAUUUCCAAAAGUCAAAGCUCUAAUACCAAAUAUUAAGAACCUUUAAGAAUAGAACAUACAAACUCUAAUAGUUAUAAACCCGUAUAUCAUUAACAUAGAAAUCUACUAAAAAAUUGAAUCAAAUCCUAGAAUCACUCUAGAUCAUAUUAUAAAGUUGAUCAAUAGAAUUAGAACUUA